UCCGUAGGUGGAUAAUUAAGUCAGAGGUGAAAUCCUGCAGCUCAACUGUAGAAUUGCCUUUGAUACUGGUUAUCUUGAGUCAUUAUGAAGUGGUUAGAAUGUGUAGUGUAGCGGUGAAAUGCAUAGAUAUUACACAGAAUACCGAUUGCGAAGGCAGAUCACUAAUAAUGUACUGACACUGAGGGACGAAAGCGUGGGGAGCGAACAGGAUUAGAUCCUGGUAGUCC
rnacentral:rRNA from 1 species